CCUACGGGCGGCAGCAGUGGGGAAUAUUGCACAAUGGGCGCAAGCCUGAUGCAGCCAUGCCGCGUGUGUGAAGAAGGCCUUCGGGUUGUAAAGCACUUUCGGCGGGGAGGAAGGCGGUGAGGUUAAUAACCUCAUCGAUUGACGUUACCCGCAGAAGAAGCACCGGCUAACUCCGUGCCAGCAGCCGCGGUAAUACGGAGGGUGCAAGCGUUAAUCGGAAUUACUGGGCGUAAAGCGCACGCAGGCGGUCUGUCAAGUCGGAUGUGAAAUCCCCGGGCUCAACCUGGGAACUGCAUUCGAAACUGGCAGGCUAGAGUCUUGUAGAGGGGGGUAGAAUUCCAGGUGUAGCGGUGAAAUGCGUAGAGAUCUGGAGGAAUACCGGUGGCGAAGGCGGCCCCCUGGACAAAGACUGACGCUCAGGUGCGAAAGCGUGGGGAGCAAACAGGAUUAGAUACCCGAGUAGUC
rnacentral:rRNA from 1 species